rnacentral:lncRNA from 1 species
UGGUGAACUGAAACCACUGUUACUGCUAACUCACUCACCUUUGUGUCAUCUUCAAUACCAUUCCCUUUUGCACCAUAAUCCAUAACAUUCAGUUCAAUUCUUGAGUCAAAAAUCUUUCUGAAAACCCCCAAUUCCGGUAGCUGCUGCAGUAAAGAAUCAAAACCACCUGCAUCUGCGAAAUUUGAAAAGAGAAAUAUCGAGUAAACGAUGACACAAACAUUUUUUUGAUUUGAAACAACAGAUAAAGAUCCUGCGGUGAUCAUAUCUACAGUGUCAGACUGUCAAGUAACAAUAAGUUCAUUGGGAAAUGAAAAUAUAUUGAUGAGUUUUGGAGAGUUUGAAAGAAUCAUUGUCGGUUGCAGGAGGAUAAAAGUUGUCUCUUCGUACUUUUCUCUAUAGUAUUAUGGUUGUCCAAAGUAAUGACAUAGUGUCAUAUUAAUGAACAGAGACAACUCACCAAUCAAUAUUUAUUUAUGAUUUUAAACCGCAACUUUCGUUAAACACUAGCAAGACGUUAGAAGAUAAAGGCUUACAAGUGGAAAUUACACACAUCUAUUCAUGUCACGUUUACAAGAGACGAUCUAUUAUUACUAUACAUUAAUACUAGGUUAUAACCCCGUGUAUUAUACGGGUUGAAUAUAUGAAUUUUAUAUACCAAAUAAUAAAACAUUAUCUUUUUAAAAUGCUCCUUUAUUGCACGGGUUGAAGAAAUGUAAUUUUAUAUAUUAAAUAAUAAAAUAAGUUAUAUCUAUAAGAACCAUAUGUAUUGUACGGGUUGAAUAAAUGUAAUAUUAU